rnacentral:rRNA from 1 species
AGAGGAAGUAAAAGUCGUAACAAGGUUUCCGUAGGUGAACCUGCGGAAGGAUCAUUACUGAGUUGUCGACACGAGUUGUUGCUGGCCCUCAAACGGGGGCAUGUGCACGCUCUGUUCACACAUCCACUCACACCUGUGCACCCUCUGUAGUUCUAUUGUCUGGGGGAGAUAUGUUGUCUUCCUCCUGUAGCUCUACGUCUUUACACACACACCGUAGCGAAGUCUUAUGGAAUGUGCACCGCGUUUAACGCAAUACAAUACAACUUUCAGCAACGGAUCUCUUGGCUCUCGCAUCGAUGAAGAACGCAGCGAAAUGCGAUAAGUAAUGUGAAUUGCAGAAUUCAGUGAAUCAUCGAAUCUUUGAACGCACCUUGCACCCCUUGGCUAUUCCGAGGAGUAUGCCUGUUUGAGUAUCAUGAACACCUCAACUCUCAUGGUUCGCCAUGACGAGCUUGGACUUUGGGGGUUUUGCUGGCCUCUGGUCGGCUCCUCUCAAAUGAAUCAGCCUUCCAGUGUUUGGUGGCGUCAUGGGUGUGAUAACUAUCUACGCUUGUGGCCGUCUGCUGGGUAACCUUCUGCGACAGAGGUUUGCUGGAGCUUAUAAACGUCUCUCCUCAGCGAAGACAGCUUUUGAACGUUUGAUCUCAAAUCAGGUAGGACUACCCGCUGAACUUAAGCAUAUCAAU